AUGAAAAAGUGAUAAUGUGAUUUCUUAUCCAUGUUGUGGAUGAAGAGGAGUCAUGUGAAGGCUCCUGCUUCUCUUUUAUAAGGCAAUUGUGUGAUGCAUAGAAACUUUCGGUGAAUGUAAUUUUGUUAGAGCUGCUUUGUGUUCGAGAAGUGUGGAAGUAAUUAUGUUUUGGAUAUGACUACUCUGACUAUUAGGAGGGCUCUUCUAAGAGAGGUAAUUAUGAUUCUAUUGUCAAAUUGAUAUGAAUUGACAUUGUAUCUGUCUACCUUUGAACAUUCUUGCUUAAUUUGACUUGCAGGUUGACCCGGUAGUGUAUAAUAUGCUUCAUGAAGAUCUAGGUUCAAAGUUUGUUAGUACUGAUGGCAGUACAGGCAGCAAGGUCUCAUCAUUUUCAACAAGUCUUCUAGGAUGGUACUUUCAUUUUGGCAUUUGCUUCUGGCAAAUCUAAGUUUAGCAUUUUCAUGUAAACUGUAAUUCCUCUUCAGUUCAUGAUUGACAUAUAACGUGUGUUCAGACUUUACACUUUAGAAAUUUUUUUGGUAUAUGUAUGGAUAUGAUAUUCUGGUUAAGUUAAUAAUGCAUUUAGUGGUGUA